rnacentral:rRNA from 1 species
GAGAAGCUUGCUUCUCUGAUGUUAGCGGCGGACGGGUGAGUAACACGUGGAUAACCUACCUAUAAGACUGGGAUAACUUCGGGAAACCGGAGCUAAUACCGGAUAAUAUUUUGAACCGCAUGGUUCAAAAGUGAAAGACGGUCUUGCUGUCACUUAUAGAUGGAUCCGCGCUGCAUUAGCUAGUUGGUAAGGUAACGGCUUACCAAGGCAACGAUGCAUAGCCGACCUGAGAGGGUGAUCGGCCACACUGGAACUGAGACACGGUCCAGACUCCUACGGGAGGCAGCAGUAGGGAAUCUUCCGCAAUGGGCGAAAGCCUGACGGAGCAACGCCGCGUGAGUGAUGAAGGUCUUCGGAUCGUAAAACUCUGUUAUUAGGGAAGAACAUAUGUGUAAGUAACUGUGCACAUCUUGACGGUACCUAAUCAGAAAGCCACGGCUAACUACGUGCCAGCAGCCGCGGUAAUACGUAGGUGGCAAGCGUUAUCCGGAAUUAUUGGGCGUAAAGCGCGCGUAGGCGGUUUUUUAAGUCUGAUGUGAAAGCCCACGGCUCAACCGUGGAGGGUCAUUGGAAACUGGAAAACUUGAGUGCAGAAGAGGAAAGUGGAAUUCCAUGUGUAGCGGUGAAAUGCGCAGAGAUAUGGAGGAACACCAGUGGCGAAGGCGACUUUCUGGUCUGUAACUGACGCUGAUGUGCGAAAGCGUGGGGAUCAAACAGGAUUAGAUACCCUGGUAGUCCACGCCGUAAACGAUGAGUGCUAAGUGUUAGGGGGUUUCCGCCCCUUAGUGCUGCAGCUAACGCAUUAAGCACUCCGCCUGGGGAGUACGACCGCAAGGUUGAAACUCAAAGGAAUUGACGGGGACCCGCACAAGCGGUGGAGCAUGUGGUUUAAUUCGAAGCAACGCGAAGAACCUUACCAAAUCUUGACAUCCUUUGACAACUCUAGAGAUAGAGCUUUCCCCUUCGGGGGACAAAGUGACAGGUGGUGCAUGGUUGUCGUCAGCUCGUGUCGUGAGAUGUUGGGUUAAGUCCCGCAACGAGCGCAACCCUUAAGCUUAGUUGCCAUCAUUAAGUUGGGCACUCUAAGUUGACUGCCGGUGACAAACCGGAGGAAGGUGGGGAUGACGUCAAAUCAUCAUGCCCCUUAUGAUUUGGGCUACACACGUGCUACAAUGGACAAUACAAAGGGCAGCGAAACCGCGAGGUCAAGCAAAUCCCAUAAAGUUGUUCUCAGUUCGGAUUGUAGUCUGCAACUCGACUACAUGAAGCUGGAAUCGCUAGUAAUCGUAGAUCAGCAUGCUACGGUGAAUACGUUCCCGGGUCUUGUACACACCGCCCGUCACACCACGAGAGUUUGUAACACCCGAAGCCGGUGGAGU